rnacentral:misc_RNA from 1 species
UUCAAGACAUAGAAUUUCCAGUCCGCGGAAAAACUCUGCAAACUUUCAAUGGUUGACACGACAAAGGUAGCUCCUGCCGGUCAGGGAGUGAAAUCCUCUUCUAAUUGAUUGAAAUAAAUUGGGAUUAGCAUUAAAUUACCGCAAAGAGUGAAUAGUGAAAGUGUAAACCACAAUAAUUAGAUAAUGGCAUAGAAGCUGGAACUAGUGCAGUGUGGUGUGCGGUCAGUGGGUGGUUAGUGUCUGUUCAGUCAACCGUUGGCAUAGUAUUUACAUGUGCAGUGUCUGAGGCGAUUCGAUUGUGCGUUGCAUUAUUCGUAACAUAAUAUCGUAAAAUGAAUCUCACAACAUUUCUAUUGUUCGGGCUGAUGUCGCUUGUUAUUGGAGCCGUUCUCAUGAUCCUGCUCCAAUACUACUUCUUCAUCAAAUAUGGUAACCUACCGGAGGAGUCUAUGGAACAGCGGGAUAUUAAUGAAAGAUACAGCCUACCGGACAAUAUACUAAACAACAUAAAAUCAACGGAAACGGAGAGUAAGUCACCUAUUGUGGCCAUCAACCUGGUUAUGCAGUUUCUCUUUCAUGAGUUGAAGAACUCGAAUAAAGUGCGGAAAUGGUUUUAUCGGAAGCUGUCAUUGGAGUUGGACGAACUGAUUUCAAAAACAACAACUGGGAAGUUGUUUGAUAAACUAACCAUUCGUGAUUUAGAUUUGGGAGGUCAAUUUCCUGAAAUAAAAAACCUUCGAGUUCACAACGCUGAUCUACAUGACACAGAAGGUCAUAUUGAAAAUUUAGAUCUACUUUUAGAUUUACAAUAUCGCGGCAAUUUUCGACUAUCCAUCGAUGCAGACAUGGUGCUCGGUAAAAAAGGUUCACUAACACUAAAAGUGAAGUAUCUAUCGGGCCUUGCUCGUCUACAGUUUACUCGCAAACCCUACACGCACUGGUCACUAAGUUUCUUGGGAGAUCCACAAUUGGAGCUUGGAAUCGAAUCUCAAUUUCAGGGCAGGCAAAUGCAAUCGAAUGUUACAAACCUAAUUAUGAAUCAAAUUCGUAAAGCUGUUCGUCGAAAACAUACCCUUCCAAACUACAAAUUGCGCUAUAAACCAUUUUUCCAUAAGACAGAGGACGAUGUUGAUUGUGAGUUUAUUCCCAAUGGAAAACUAGAGGUGAACGUUUCUCAACUGUCGCGUCUUAUGAUUCCAUCAAACACUGAACUCCUUUAUUGCACCUUAACGCUAUCCUCAUUGCCAUGGGUUGAAGCCAGACAACGAGACGACAAAAACGUUAUCAUAUCAACCGACAAAGAAAUCCACAAGGCUAAGAACCAACAGAUUGGAAUUGUUUUCAAGCAGGCCGAUAACAUCGUUUCGAUUGAGGCCGUUUUGCCAAAUACCCCGGCUCUAAAAGCAGGACUGAGAAGAGGAGACGUCCUGAUUUCCAUCGAAGGGAAGCGCGUGAACAAUAUCAAUCAAGUAGCAAAAAUUGUAAAAAGUCUCAACAGACCCGUCCUAACUCUCAGAAUCGAACGCGUCCUUUCAGGGGUCAUAAAAAAUGACGCUAUAUAUGAAGACAACGAAGCAUAUGAAGACUUGGGUAAUUCAAAUGUGAGUUUCUCACGAUCAACGGAAUCAGUGCAACUUAUCGGAACGAAGCAAACCCGAAAAAACUCCACAGAUCGCGGUGGAACCUCUAGUGAAUCCAGCGUAGCCAAUACGCCAACCAACUCACCACGCAAGUCAAAAGGAAACAUAAAAUCAUCCUCAGUAAGUUUGAGCCGAGAAAAUAGUGAAAGUGCGGCACCUGACGAGCAAGGAUCGCUCAGUCGUCAAAGCGCUGCAGGGAAUCGCAAAACUAAUCAAACACCGAACGAAGUACCCAACGAAAUAGAAGUAAUACAACAACAUUCCACAAUCGACUUCCCAGUCGGGAGCUAUGUGAAAGUCGGAGAUUUAUGCACGUUCAAUUUGAGUGAGACCUCAAACUAUAUUAACUUGUGUGUCUAUGGAAGAUCCAAGGAUUUCAACGAGCUUCUGGGUUAUGUGAAUAUACCUGUUCGGAAUAUCAUAGCAGAAUGCAGUGAGACUAGCUUAGGACAUUACGUCAAGUCAUAUUCAUUCACCCCACCAACGACUCCGGAUUUGCAAAAUCACAUCCUCUCGGCACAAUCUGGUUUCGACCCCACUUUAUGCUAUGGCGAUAUUUUACUUUCAUUCGUAUGGAAUGGGAAUCCAACUGUGAUGGUUAACCCAAGUGAGACGGUACCAAAAAGGAGCAAAUCAAUGAGAAGUUCAACUGACAAACUCGAAGAAUCAGAUCGUGCUGAGCCAAGCGGUCCUAAAUCGCAUAAUUUUAUUCGAACCCACUUUCACCGAACCACCCAAUGCGACUAUUGUGGAAAGAAGAUUUGGCUAAAGGACGCUGUUCAGUGUCGAGACUGUUCGAUGUGCUGUCACAAAAAAUGCAUAACAAAAUGCCAAAAUUCUACCGUCUGUGGCCCUGUUGAUUGUUCCAGCAAUACAUCAUCAGGUUCAGGUACUGGAUCCACAAUAUCCACUUCUCAGCCAGAGUUCCGAGUGACCCAGGCGCCUCACAGUGACGAUGCAGAAUCUGAAGAUGGAGAUGAGGUGCAACCGAAACUGGAAGGACAUCGACAAAGCUUUAGUGAUCUCCUAGCACAAGGUCUGAAGCGAGUUAAUUCUGCCAACAACUUAGCUAUUCCAGGGAUAGUCUCGUCGCUGAGUCAAAACAGUCGCAGCCUGCCACCCAGUCCACAACACACCCCCAGGCGGAGGAUAUGAUGAGCUUAGCGAAGAGUUCGAGUAAAGGAUUGUAUGCCGAUUUGGAGCCAAACGAACGAGUCGAAAGGAUAAACAAAUUGCUUACUAAACUCCGUCUAGCACUAGAUAGUGAAACGCAUGCCCACUCAAAUCUUGUAGCUGGGCCAGAAAUCAGCAGCACAUCGAAAACCACUGAAACAUCGUCACCCAGGAAUGAAGCACCUAAAACGUCGAGUGA